UGUGUCAUCCAAGCUCUAUGCCCCUCCUCCACCUCUCUACAGCAAGCCGCAAGCUCCGAAACAACAUGACCAUCGAGGACCGAAACACCAGGGAGCAUGUUAUGUUGUUGGUUAGCCAUGUUCGGCAUGUUCAAGUUGCUAUCAGCUCCUCUAUCCGUCUGCAGCCAGUGUACAGGCCGUGGUGCUGCUUGCGAGAGAGUGAGGGUGACAGAUG
rnacentral:misc_RNA from 1 species